rnacentral:scRNA from 1 species
GCUGAGUCUGCUGCUAGGUCUGCUGCUAGGUCUGCUGCUUGGUC